rnacentral:rRNA from 1 species
GCCCAGACUCCUACGGGAGGCAGCAGUGAGGAAUAUUGGUCAAUGGGCUUACGCCUGAACCAGCCAAGUCGCGUGAGGGAUGACGGCCCUACGGGUUGUAAACCUCUUUUGCCGGGGAGCAAAGAGCGGGACGCGUCCCGCCUCGAGAGUACCCGGAGAAAAAGCAUCGGCUAACUCCGUGCCAGCAGCCGCGGUAAUACGGAGGAUGCGAGCGUUAUCCGGAUUUAUUGGGUUUAAAGGGUGCGCAGGCGGCGAGUUAAGUCAGCGGUAAAUUUGGGGGGCUCAACCCCGGCGAGCCGUUGAAACUGGCUUGCUAGAGUGGGCGAGAAGUAUGCGGAAUGCGUGGUGUAGCGGUGAAAUGCAUAGAUAUCACGCAGAACUCCGAUUGCGAAGGCAGCAUACCGGCGCCCAACUGACGCUCAGGCACGAAAGCGUGGGUAUCGAACAGGAUUAGAUACCCCCGUAAA